CAAGCGGUGGAUUAUGUGGAUUAAUUCGAUGCAACGCGAAAAACCUUACCUACCCUUGACAUGUCCGAAAGCCUGCUGAGAGGCGGGUGUGCCCGAAAGGGAAUCGGAACACAGGUGCUGCAUGGCUGUCGUCAGCUCGUGUCGUGAGAUGUUGGGUUAAGUCCCGCAACGAGCGCAACCCUUGUCAUUAGUUGCUACCGCAAGGAGCACUCUAAUGAGACUGCCGGUGACAAACCGGAAGAAGGUGGGGAUGACGUCAAGUCCUCAUGGCCCUUAUGGGUAGGGCUUCACACGUAAUACAAUGGCGCGUACAGAGGGUUGCCAAGCCGCGAGGUGGAGCCAAUCCCUUAAAGCGCGUCGUAGUCCGGAUUGCAGUCUGCAACUCGACUGCAUGAAGUCGGAAUCGCUAGUAAUCGCGGAUCAGCAUGUCGCGGUGAAUACAUUCCCGGGUCUUGUACACACC
rnacentral:rRNA from 1 species